rnacentral:rRNA from 1 species
GUGGGGAAUUUUGGACAAUGGGCGCAAGCCUGAUCCAGCCAUGCCGCGUGAGUGAAGAAGGCCUUCGGGUUGUAAAGCUCUUUCGGCCGGGAAGAAAUCGGCGACUCUAACAUAGUCGCUGGCUGACGGUACCGGACUAAGAAGCACCGGCUAACUACGUGCCAGCAGCCGCGGUAAUACGUAGGGUGCGAGCGUUAAUCGGAAUUACUGGGCGUAAAGCGUGCGCAGGCGGUUUUGUAAGACAGAUGUGAAAUCCCCGGGCUUAACCUGGGCACUGCGUUUGUGACUGCAAGGCUAGAGUACGGCAGAGGGGGGUGGAAUUCCUGGUGUAGCAGUGAAAUGCGUAGAUAUCAGGAGGAACACCGAUGGCGAAGGCAGCCCCCUGGGCCUGUACUGACGCUCAUGCACGAAAGCGUGGGGAGCAAACAGGAUUAGAUACCCCGGUAGUCC